GAGCCAGAUGGCUGCUCAGCUCCUUUUUCUUGCUUGGUAUUCUCCUCUGCGGCCUUUUUCGCAGCUGCUUCUUGUCUGGCCCUCUCCUCUUCCAUUGAAACUCUAAGAGCGAGGGCAAGUUCAGGAUCUAAGUUGGGAUCAACCCCAAAAUCAAAACCAGAUACGCCACCUGCUGCUGCAGCCGCAGCAGCUGCUGCAAAACCACUUCCACCUUCCCCGUCUCCCGUAAAGAUAGGAGUACUGAUGAGUACAUCAGAG
rnacentral:misc_RNA from 1 species